AGCUCCAAUAGCGUAUAUUAAAGUUGUUGCAGUUAAAAAGCUCGUAGUUGGAUUUGUGGCGUACGGCGGGCUCCCGUCACUAUUGGUGUCGGUGCUGCUUGGCGUUGCCAUCCUUGGGUGGAAUCUGUGUGGCAUUAGGUUGUCGUGCAGGGGAUGCCCAUCGUUUACUGUGAAAAAAUUAGAGUGUUCAAAGCAGGCUUACGCCGUUGAAUAUAUUAGCAUGGAAUAAUAAGAUAGGACCUUGGUACUAUUUUGUUGGUUUGCGCACCGAGGUAAUGAUUAAUAGGGCCUGUUGGGGGUAUUCGUAUUUCAUUGUCAGAGGUGAAAUUCUUGGAUUUUUGAAAGACGAACUACUGCGAAAGCAUUUACCAAGGAUGUUUUCAUUAAUCAAGAACGAAAG
rnacentral:rRNA from 1 species